rnacentral:rRNA from 1 species
AUUGAACGCUGGCGGCAGGCCUAACACAUGCAAGUCGAACGGCAGCGCAGAAGAGCUUGCUCUUUGGGUGGCGAGUGGCGGACGGGUGAGUAAUGUCUGGGAAACUGCCCGAUGGAGGGGGAUAACUACUGGAAACGGUAGCUAAUACCGCAUAACGUCGCAAGACCAAAGUGGGGGACCUUCGGGCCUCACACCAUCGGAUGUGCCCAGAUGGGAUUAGCUAGUAGGUGGGGUAAUGGCUCACCUAGGCGACGAUCCCUAGCUGGUCUGAGAGGAUGACCAGCCACACUGGAACUGAGACACGGUCCAGACUCCUACGGGAGGCAGCAGUGGGGAAUAUUGCACAAUGGGCGCAAGCCUGAUGCAGCCAUGCCGCGUGUAUGAAGAAGGCCUUCGGGUUGUAAAGUACUUUCAGCGGGGAGGAAGGCGGUGAGGUUAAUAACCUUGCCGAUUGACGUUACCCGCAGAAGAAGCACCGGCUAACUCCGUGCCAGCAGCCGCCGUAA